CAGCAGCCGCGGGAAUACGAAGGGUGCAAGCGUUAAUCGGAAUUACUGGGCGUAAAGCGUGCGUAGGUGGUGGUUUAAGUCCGUUGUGAAAGCCCUGGGCUCAACCUGGGAAUUGCAGUGGAUACUGGGUCACUAGAGUGUGGUAGAGGAUAGUGGAAUUUCCGGUGUAGCAGUGAAAUGCGUAGAGAUCGGAAGGAACAUCUGUGGCGAAGGCGACUAUCUGGGCCAACACUGACACUGAGGCACGAAAGCGUGGGGAGCAAACAGGAUUAGAUACCCGAGUAGUCCCUGUCUCUUAUAC
rnacentral:rRNA from 1 species